UUCCUUGUCUUAAUUUCCAGAAAAAUAAGGAAACAAAUAUUGGGUAAACUAUGGAAAGAUUUUUAGAAGAUUUUUCAUCAUGUUCAUGGAAGACCCCUGCUAGGUUUUGCCUCCCAAAGGGUUUAACCCUAAAGGUUUGGUUUCCUAGGGUUUCCCUCUUCUAAGAUCCUUAUCUUCAAGACGUGUAAAGUAAAAUCCCGCAAAAUCAUUCAAAGGCUUGAAGUAUUCUUGUACGAUCGUCUAUUUGGGAAUGCGACUCUCGCGCAGGGGGUAUAUGUGGGCCCAAGUGCAAAAUUAGGGUUCACAUGACCAAAUUAAAUUAAAUGCAUAAAUUAGGGUUCCACGACCUCAUUAAAUGUGCAAAUUAGGGUUCGCAUAACCUAAUAGAAUGAAGUCGGAAAAGUCAAAAAUAAAUGUGUUAAACCCGGGAGAAGCCUCCAUGUGUCCCGAGGCAGAAGGCUCGUGGAGGCGACUCGUUUUUUGAAUUGAUUGAGGGAUUUGAUUGGUGGCACGAAGGACAGGGCAAUAUGGACAUUACUCUGAUGAUUAAAGGGUAUUUCUGGAAAUUCCCUGAAAGCAUGUGCCGGGCACAUGACCACUUUUCAGGAAACCUUAUAAAUACCCCAUCCAUUUCAUUGGGAAGGGGACCUCUAUUCAGACUCAAGACUUGGACUCUUGGAAGAUCAAAGGACUCUUUUUUGUGACUUAAGGCUUGGAUAUUCCACCUAAAAGCACUAAAAAAGGUUUUGGACAUUCUCUCAACUGGAAGGACUCAAGAAGAAGGCUCUUUGAAUCCCAAUAACCCUAACAUAGUUUCUGGUUUCUAGGGGUUCUGCCACGCGUCAUUGGAGUAAUCGCCCACUUGUUCUUCUCCCCUCUUCAAUCAAUCAACUAAUUUCGUGCUCUUCAUGGAUUUCUCUCCUCCUCAGCUAACAUGAAACCCUAAACUAGCUAGGCGCGAUUUCCUUGCCCACAUUUGGUAACCAACCCUUGACUCUUCCAUGUGACUAAAAAUAAUAUAUAUCAGCCACAAAUCAUCAGCCAUGUGCAUUGUAACAUAAUAUAUAUGGAUUCAAGAGAGAGAAAAGUCACUUAUUAAGCCCAUUUGUUCAACUUACUCUUAACCAAGACUCUCUCUCUCUCUCUCUCUCUAACCCACGAAAUUUUAUUGCUAGAUCAGUCACAAAACCAGCCCCACUAACACCCAUAACAAAAUCAGAAGCCAAGAAUCAAAAUUUAUCAAAGUGAGGUAUAAAGCCUUAACCUAAAAUCUGAUUCUUGAUCCUCUGUUAGAUGUUAUAUUUUUGUGUUAAAACAUGUUAUUUAUAGUAUAAAUAGAUGAUCUGGGUUGCUCGAUGUUAGAUCCAUAACAUCUAUAGGCUCAUAUUUGAAUUUUUCAAAAUCUGGAAACAAAUUAAGUUGUCUGACAACCGAAUGUCAGACCUCCUAGAGCUCAGCAUGUUUAUGUUUUUGAUUGUUUUAAUGUUUAAUCAUGUAGUAUCCUAUGAGAUCUAUGUUCUAGAACUUUUAGCAGGACCAGAUCAUGCAUAUAUUGUAAGUUAUUCAUGGUCAAACCCCGUUAACUGACCAUGACUGGACAAAAUCUUGGUAACCCAGAUCUUACCCAGAACGGUCUGACAAUAAGUUCAUGGCCUUAAAUCUUACUGGUUGUUGUUUCUUUGUUGUUUUUGUUGCAUCUAUGUUGUAGUAGGUUAUAUGAUCUACAACAUCAUGCCUUAAUAUCACCUAAACAUCAAAUAGGCUGAACACAGUGGUUGGUCAAAGUAGGUAACACGAGCACGUUUUCUAUUUUUUGGGUAACCCAGAAAAUAGAUGAACGUCGUCUGACAUGGUUUGAUCGGACGAUAUUUGUUGAUUGUGAUGUUGUUAUAUUUAUACCUCCUUAAGCUUGAAUUAAACUUCCUUACUUCACUGAUCCUUCUCACUAAAUUUUUAGCAACUCCACUCUCAAAUAUAACUUAACAAGAAAUCUCAGCAACAAGGAAAGUGAAGGAAUUGCUCAAUUUAUAGAAUUUUCACUUACCAUGCCAAGCCAUUAUCCAAGAAAUCAAACCAAAGGUUAGAAGAAAAAUUUAUUGGAUUGAGAGAGUUUGGUGAAAAAGAUUUACCAACUCCUUCUCCCCCAUUUCUCAGCUCAUGAUUAUGGCUAAAGUAGCCUUCAACUGCCAACUACGUAAUAUAGAGUUAGGCCACUGUUCAUGUACCUUUGUG
rnacentral:lncRNA from 1 species